UGCCUGCGAGGAGGCCACACAAAUCCUGUGCAGGAGGGUGCUGCAGAACGCUCCAGGUGCAGUCCUGAGCUGGUGGGGCUCCCAUUGGAUUUGCCCCAUCCAAUGUCCUGGAGAAGAAGGUGACAAUGUCUCCAGGACAAUUUUUAGCAUUCAGAGUUGACCACUCUGUAAAAUGAAAGCCCAGCAGCCCAACUGUUCCAGAGCUAGCUGUGGGCAUGGGGAGAGUAUGGAGAAGAAUGGGGUACUGCAGGACGCUUAUCCCAGCAAGGUGUCUCUUCUGCUGUACCAGUCUUUAUACAGGAGUUAAUGUGGGAUUUCUAAGCAGGAAGACUGGAAGAAUCCUUGUAGAUCAGUCAGUGGAGCAGAGUGUUGUGAACCUCAGUGCAAAGACCCACAAGCUGCAAAUCUAUAGCAAAAGGAAGACUGCAAAGAAUCAUGUCAGCAAAUGCAUUGGCAGUUGAGCAGGGCAGUCUUUAAACAGUGGAAAGAGUAGGGGAUGACUCACUGCUGCAGCAAGCUGAGGAUGCUUCUGCUCACUGCACUGCCUCCAGACUAAUUAAUUUAUCAUGAAAGUGGAGGAGUUUUGCUGAAUGUCGCCAUGCUCGUUUUGCCUGCCUGGGCUUCCCCCAUUAUUUCUAGGUGGAUCUUUAAUGGAAAAAUUUGGUCUGCCAUCUGUAAGUGCACCCAUCUCUCGGAUAAUGCUGCAGGCCUAAAUGGGAAACCCCAGCAGCAUUUUUGCUUGCAUGACUCCAAGCCCUGCACCAUGAGAGCGUGCCCAGGACAUGUCAGAGACCACUCUGCUGAGACUGGGGAUAGCACCUGAAGGCCCGUGGAGAAGGCAGCUGCUCCUGGCUCACUGCCCCACAUUCUUGGCUGCUUCCUGCCUUGGUGCCUUACUUGUUGUGCCAGCUGGAGCCUUGGGAGAGCUGCUGCUGAUUUAAUCGUUCAAUAAAUUCCCCAGUGCAAAUACAGAUGAAAGCAUCCCCCUCUCAGGGAGGGCUGGUGCCAGCAGAGUCAGACAGCAGUCCAAAUAGUUUCAUGGAAAGCUGGAAAGGACAUUUUAUGAUCUUACCAACAGGUUUGAGUCACAGAUGUCUUUCCACUCAUGCACUCCUGAAUUCAGAGCCUGAAGUGCCAACUGCCUUGUCACAGCUAUUCCUACUCAUGACAAAGAUGGAUUUACCCUGAUGCAGAUUUUUCAUGGAAGUCAGCUUUGAUAUAUGUGUCGUGUAGUAAAGCUUGGACAUCCUCGUGACUACUAAAAGUUCUACAAUGCUUUCAGCUGGGGAAUAAACCCACCUUUUUCAUCUUG